AUGAGAUAUAUAUGUGCAUGCUUUUUGUUUUUGCUGUGCCUUUUUUUCGAUGUAUCUUUGAUGUGCAUUUUUAGUUUUAAUUGUUGUUUACCUUCAGCCGACCUAAUUGAGCUAUCGGAGGUGCGGCGGUCUUUUGGCAAACAUGCCCUAUAUUCUAUGGUUUUGCAUCUACAGGAUGCCAUCUCUGGUCAUGGAUCCACUGUGGCCGCUUCGUCCUUCACUGAGGACCUUCUCACCCCCACAGAGAUCAGAGAGAAAAAUAUAUUUUGGAAGCAGGAACCCUUACCUCAUAAGAUGGGUUAUGACUAUGCUGUAGGUGACAUGCGGAAAGGCGACCAACAAGGAGAAGAGUACAUGAAGAAUUCUUGCUAUCAACUAGGGCUGGAUGCCCCCAGGAAGAAUACCGAAAGGAGAGCAGAGUUCAGGGCAUGUUCAGCUCCAUCCAUGCAUCAAGGGAAAUAUAUACGACGCAAAGGAUUACGUGUUCUGCUAGAUGACAUAGUACAAGGUUCAGCACCGACGACAUGA
rnacentral:rRNA from 1 species